rnacentral:miRNA from 1 species
AUCACCUGAGACUCUGUUAAAAUGCAGAUUCUGAUUCAGUAGUCCACAGUGGUGCCUGAGAUGCUUCAUUUCUAACAAGUUCCCAGGUGAUGC